CAGAGUUGAAAAACUCCCUAACCCUUUGUUUAUAUACCUGUCCCGUUGCUUCGGCAGGCGGCCCCAGGGCGGGGCCUCCGGCCUGCUUUUGCAGGUGUCUGCCGCUGGCACAAAACUCUUGUUAUACAUACCACUCUGAGUCAAACAAAAAUGAAUCA
rnacentral:misc_RNA from 1 species